rnacentral:misc_RNA from 1 species
UGUGUGUGUGUGUGUGUGUGUCUGAAGUCAAAGUUCCAUUUAAAUCGUGAUUCCUAAAUGUUAGAAAAAAAAAUAGAGAAAAAUGAAGUUUUGGAACUAGAAUGUGAAAAUGCAUGAAAGGACCUCCAAUCACUAUUCAUCCCCUCCCCAAUCUAAGUACCUAUAUCAAAAUUUAGCAACCAAAUCAUGACUAUUUUGUCACAGUAAUAAUUCAAGAGUUGAGAAAAGAAUGGAUAUAAUCAAUGAGUAAGGAAUAGAUAAUGGUGAAAAGGAUUCAAAAAUUGUUUAUAGUUCACAUACAAAUUGCUUUUGCUUACUGUCAAACACAAUAUGACAAAACUUAUGUUCAGAAGCACAAUCCCCUUUUAAGGCAAGUAUAGGACAAUAGCAGGGUCUUCAUAGCUUGUUGACAAUAUCACAAAAUCUCUCAUAAAAAGCAAACCAACAUUACACGCAGACCAAGAUAUCUCUACAACUAAUAGUUCUUAUAUAAAAACUGAAGAAAUACAGUCCAUAACCUCUCUUUAAUUAAUAGUGGGAAAAAGAACAUAAAAAGUAACAAAUUUAAAUUACACUCCAUUAUAUUAAUAAUGAAAGGAAUUCAACUACACAAAUGGGACAAACAAUAACCAAAUCGCUCAAUAACUAAAGCAUCUAACCCCUUCCAAACUUCUUGCCUUCGAGAUCCAUCAAUUUAACAAGGAAACAGAGCACAGGCUCAUCUUCAUCUAUCAUCAAGACAGAAACAACAAAAAAGUGUGUGUUUUAGCAGCUAUCAUUUGUAUUCCAAUUUAGACAUAUGCUCCUGUACAUGCAGAUUACUCAAACAUCAUGAAACAGAUACUCAAUUAUACAUCAAUAGCAAUAUGAGAUGUGAUAAAGAUGAAUAUCAUUUAAUCAUUUUGCGAACCCCACCCCCAACCCGUGCAAACUGCUUGGGGUGAAAUGUGUAGGCUGACAUACAGAUGAUACAAGCAUUAUACAGUUGGAAGGUCCUAAUCACUAUCCUAUAAAAUUGUAGACUUCAUUAAAGAUGCUAAUAUAAAGAUUACUCCCCAAUUAUGUUGUGAAUAUUAAAUCAUUGCCAUUUUGAAAUUACAGAGACACUGCCCACAGCACAGCACGGACCAACCCAAACCCAGCUCAAUCUUCAAUCCAAAGCUGUCAAUUCCAAAUGCAAUAAUAUGAAUAUCUUUCCUCCACUAACUAUUCUCCAAAAGGCAAUUAAAAACCUCAAGCCGCUGCUGCCCCUAAAACACACAAAGCUCAUCCAAUUCAAAGCCGGUGUUCAAACUUCAAACAACUCUUUAAUCACAUGACAACGCAUUACCCCAUGAACUAAAAUUCACGAGCUAGAAGCUCAAACAUGUGUCCCAUUGUGGAGAAUUUACACAAAACAAACGAAGAUUAUUGAGUAUUGCCUUUAGACAAGUUGGGAAAAUAUCUGACUUCAAAUUCACGCAGAACAACAAAAGAAAUCAUACGCCCAAAUCCGAAGGGCAUAAACAACACCUAGUUAAAAUUUCAUUUUGAAGCGUUCAGCUAGUGGAUGAAAAAAAAAAUUUGAAUAAGGAUAUCAUAAUAAGAACCCCUGUCCUGAGUUCCUAUAUAAAUA